UCGUGAGAUGGACAUCGGAUACCUCGCCUCUUCAUCUCUCCCUUUCUCAUUUCUACGAACCCUAAUUUCCAGAUCGAUUCGUUACCCCUUUUGCUCUUCGUCUUCUUUGUUCUGUUCCUUUGCUCUUCCUCUUCUUUGUUUCGUUUCACGAUCUGACACACGAACAAUCCCCUUCCUCCAUCAGAACAUGCUUGGAAGUUCGACCAUCUCCAAUCUCUUGAACAAACACUAACUUAGAACUCUCUGAUGUUGUUGGCCAAGGGUCUGACCUGAACAACGUGUAGGAUUGUGGUCAGUUUUUUCAUUACCCCUACGGUGGUGGGGUAUGUGCCUUUAUAGGAUGACGCAGCAGCAAUGUUUAGGAGUCUCCUAAACUCAGAUGAUAAGACCCAGUCUGUCAUGGUGGUCAUAACUGUCAAUACAAAUAUAUUUGGAGAUAACCUCUAUCUGAUCUCCAUACUAGCAAUCAAGUUUUAUUUUGACACUGGCCUUCCCGCCAUUAAGGAGUUCACAACAAGCUUGGGAGGUGCUGCAGGAGAAGUUUUCCAGUGUGCUGAUACUAUGGACGAGAUCAAAAAAGAACGAACAUGUCUCAAUUCAAGAUCUACACCCUUUCAUUUCCAUCUCUAACGAGCAGGUAACACAGGAUUCCAACAUAUUUUGAAAUUUCUUUUUCAGCUUGAAAAUAUCAUUAGUAAAUGGUUACUCUUUUAUUGUCGUUAAGACACAAGCUGAUUUUAUUUGCAAGCUCGGUUUGUCGAGGUCCUCCACCAAACUGGCUGGUCGUUCGUCUCAUGGACCGGAUGCAGCAGUAAGUCGGACAAAUCUGGCACUUCUCUCUGUCACAACAAAAAUGUUUCUCCCAAUGAUACCGGGGUGAUCAGGUACCGUCUCGAACUAUCAAUUGACAAUGACAACGGCAUAGUGCUACGUUUGUGGUCUUCGACGGGGAGAUGACCAAGCUCACUAAGCAACAUGGAACGGCUCUGGCUCUUGAGGAGAUAAAUGGCGGUGGGGGCGGGAACUACCAAGAUGUCUUGAAGAGCUUGCUAGCAAGGAGUACGUUUUUCAGAGCUGUGUUACUCUAUACAAUUUCACCCGAACUACCGUACCUUCACAGUGUCUAUUGUCAGUGACAAUAGCUUCUUAGACCCCCACUCCGAGAGUUGCUUCAUCAACCAAACUCCAGUUGUUGAAGUGGAAGGUCGACAACCAACAACUUCUGUAAGCAACACAGUUGCAGCAGCGAAGAUAGAAAUUGGAGGCGAUGAAUCAAGUCCAACAGGUUUUGAAGGCAAAGAGAAAAGCUGCAAACGCCCAGUGAGUGAUCGUCUCAAGUCCAUCAACCGUCCAGCAUGUCCCCCUUUUAAAUUUUCUAAAUUCCUAUGUUUUACCUAUUUUGAACUUUGUUUAUUUUCCUUUUAUUUUUGAAAACUACUUCUCAAUAGGAAGACGACCAAUAUCUUAUAUAAUAAAGGCAUUAUUUACAGAAUA